CAAAAGCAGUUUUUUGUUGUUUUGUUCUGUUGUCUGAGAUGGAGUCCAGUCCAGUGAUGCAAUCUUGGCUCACUGCAGCCUCAACUUCAGGCAAUCCUUCCAUCUCAGCCUCCUGAGUAGGUGGGACUACACAUGCCCAGCUAGUUUUUGUAUUUUAAUAGAGUUAGGUUUUCGUUGGGUUUUUGCCAUGUUGCCCAGGCUGGUUUCCAAUUCCUGAGCUCAAGUGAUCUGCUUGCCUGGGCCUCCCAAAGUGCUGGAAUUACAGGCGUGAGCCACCGUGUCUGGACCCCAAAAGCAGUUUUUGCUAAAGCAAAACAAACUUCCUUGAUUCAGACGAUCAACUCUACCAUAUUCAUCCGUUAUUCUCACCUAUCGUCAGACAAACAUUUCACAAAAGCUGUGGUAUAGACCAUCAGCUUAACGCAGUAUGUAAUCAGAUAGAUAAGUUAACACACACAUAAGGAGAAAAGUCGUUCUCACACGAGGUCUUCCAUGCAAUGUAGAAAUUCUUUAGCUUUCUCAGGUAAAAAAUAUUGCUGAGAACAGAAAGUUCUGGAAGGCAGUUCAUAGAGCCCUCAGGCCGAUCAUUACUUGGAUAGCAAUUUUCUCAGGUGUGGAUAAUUAGCUGUAGCUGAAAAGGCAAAAGUAUGUCCCCCAGCAAGCAGGAACAAACCUAGCAUUCGUCUUAAUUUGCAAAAGGUUUCUAAUAGCAGCAUUUUUAAUUGCCAGACCAAAUAUCUAGCAGCUGCCACCAGCCCAGGUCCUGAGGCUGGAAUGCAGCCUGACUAUUAAUUUACUGAAAGCCUGGCAAAACAAAGUUGUAUGCUGGUUUCUCCAGAAAAGUCUCCUCUUUCAAUAACAGAUCUUCCUCGGGCUUCCUAACCUCUUCCCAGGGUCUCAGUGAAGACAGAAGAAACAAAAGCGUCACUGUGGAUCCCAUCACAGCAUUGUCGAGAGACCUAUCACUGCCUGCCACCAGAGAGCCAAAGCUUCAUCUUGUCAAAAGCUCAAAAGCCCUGGGAUUUUCCAUUCUUCCUAUCUGUCAUUGUGAAGACACGCACACACUCAUUAUGUUGCAAGCAAUUUGUCAACAUUAUUAUUGACAAUGUAAACUGAUCAAACUUCUACGACAGACAUCUUGGAAAGAAGAAAAUGAUCGGGCAUUGUGGUCCAAACUGAUACUGUUCCAAAAAAACCAAACAGUUUUUAAUGACCUGGAACGUUGCAGACUGUGAAGCAAGUCAUUACUGCCUGUGAGGCAGAGCUGGACGUAGAAAUGGCAGUGCUCAAAAGAAGAGAUGUUUAUCUAUUUCAUUGUUCUAGGCAAAACAAUCUGCAUAAUUGAAUUUGCUGUUACCCCAGGUUUGUGACAGCACUAUAUGUAGAAAUAAAGGAGGUGUCUCCUAUAGACGGAUUUAUUCA
rnacentral:lncRNA from 13 species